rnacentral:rRNA from 1 species
UACGAAGGGGGCUAGCGUUGUUCGGAUUUACUGGGCGUAAAGCGCACGUAGGCGGAAUGUUAAGUCGGGGGUGAAAUCCCGGGGCUCAACCCCGGAACUGCCUUCGAUACUGGCAAUCUCGAGUCCGGAAGAGGUGAGUGGAACUCCUAGUGUAGAGGUGGAAUUCGUAGAUAUUAGGAAGAACACCAGUGGCGAAGGCGGCUCACUGGUCCGGUACUGACGCUGAGGUG